UGUUCUUCAUGUUGAGCAAGGUUACCCACUCAUUUACUCAAGCUGAGAACACACUCAGGGAGCUGAGUGUCGAAGGGUGCCGAGGUGACCCCAGAGCCACAGACGGGCUGACCGAGCAGAUGCCCAAUCUCGUAAUCCGCGGCACGGUCCACGCUGAGCUGCAGCCUUUCUACUUCGAGGCACUCGAGGACGUAGGGCCCGGCGAAGCAGACGAAGCGGUGGACGGCCGUUCGGAGAGUGACGAAGACGGCGACAGCGAUAGUAGCGUCGGCGGCAGUGACAGUGAGAGAGGGUGAGAGCACUAUAUCUGUAUGUAAAAAAAUGAUGUGAAAUUUAUAGGAAAGUACAAUUCUCAGUACUUGUCAACAUAAGCGGAAACUGUUUUGAAGGAAUAUAACAAAUAAUUUUAGAAAUGUGUAGAAGAAACAGUAAUGUUGUUUGAAUACCUGCUGUAAUAAUCUGCAAUAAUGUUUGAUUCUUGUUGUAACAACAAUGGAUUCACAAUGAAACAAAUUUUUUAAAUGAUAAAAUGGCUACACAGAUCAGGUAGCAAUUCAUAAAUAGCACUGACAAUGUUUUUUUGCAGUAAGUCGAAUUUAAAAACUUCUUUGUUUUUAUAAACCUGUGAAACAAUAAUAAAUGAGGACUGCUACCUUGUUA